rnacentral:rRNA from 1 species
CAAUAGCGUAUAUUAAAGUUGUUGCAGUUAAAAAGCUCGUAGUUGGAUUUCUGGUGGGAGCGAUCGGUCUGGCGCUUAGCGCGAGUACUUGCAUCGUCUCCGGCCAUCCUUGGGGAAGUCUGUCUGGCAUUAAGUUGUCGGGCAGAGGAUCCUCAUCGUUUACUGUGAAAAAAUUAGAGUGUUCAAAGCAGGCUUAUGCCGUUGAAUAUAUUAGCAUGGAAUAAUAAGAUAGGACUUUGGUACUAUUUUGUUGGUUUGCGCACCAAAGUAAUGAUUAAUAGGGACAGUUGGGGGUAUUCGUAUUCCGUUGUCAGAGGUGAAAUUCUUGGAUUUACGGAAGACGAACUACUGCGAAAGCAUUUACCAAGGAUGUUUUCAUUAA